CCUACGGGAGGCUGCAGUGGGGAAUAUUGGACAAUGGGCGAAAGCCUGAUCCAGCCAUGCCGCGUGUGUGAAGAAGGCCUUCGGGUUGUAAAGCACUUUCAGUGGGGAAGAAAGCCUUGGGGCUAAUACCCUCGAGGAAGGACAUCACCCACAGAAGAAGCACCGGCUAACUCCGUGCCAGCAGCCGCGGUAAUACGGAGGGUGCGAGCGUUAAUCGGAAUUACUGGGCGUAAAGCGCGCGUAGGCGGUCUGAUAAGCCGGUUGUGAAAGCCCCGGGCUCAACCUGGGAACGGCAUCCGGAACUGUCAGGCUAGAGUGCAGGAGAGGAAGGUAGAAUUCCCGGUGUAGCGGUGAAAUGCGUAGAGAUCUGGAGGAAUACCAGUGGCGAAGGCGGCCUUCUGGACUGACACUGACGCUGAGGUGCGAAAGCGUGGGUAGCAAACAGGAUUAGAUACCCGAGUAGUC
rnacentral:rRNA from 1 species